UCAUGCGGGCCAGGAGUAUAGCAACAUGCAGUUUAGGCUCAUGCAUCAAGGAGCGUAUGCAACUUAACGGAUAAUACUUCUUUAAAAACUUGUCAUUGAUAGGGCCGAUUCUCAUGCCAUCUACAUCAACUAACUUGUAAGCCCCACUUGAGUAAGCUACUUGUACGAUAUAUGGCCCAUCCCAUUUUGAAGUGAAUUUCCCUAUUGGUUUAUGAGAAGUAAUUAUGGGUCUUCGAACGGCAAGGACUUGAUCUCCUACUUGAAAGGAUCUCGGGCGAACUUUUUUAUUGAAGGCGCGAGACAAUCGAGCUUGAUAACAUUCAAGACUGUGUUGAUCUUCCAACAUCUUCUCGUCAAGGGACUCCAACUCUGCUAAUCAAAGUCGAGCAUUUUCUUCAUCAGUGAUCCCUUCUUGAAUAGCCAG
rnacentral:lncRNA from 1 species